rnacentral:rRNA from 1 species
UAGGGAAUCUUCCACAAUGGACGAAAGUCUGAUGGAGCAACGCCGCGUGAGUGAAGAAGGGUUUCGGCUCGUAAAACUCUGUUGUUAAAGAAGAACAUAUCUGAGAGUAACUGUUCAGGUAUUGACGGUAUUUAACCAGAAAGCCACGGCUAACUACGUGCCCG